CUAUAAUCUGUUUUAUCUACCGCUCUGGCCUAGCCUACUUCUGAGGCAGACCUGACUUACGCAAACGUUUGACUUCUACGUCAUAGACGGUCAACAUUCGGUCGCCUUUAUGAUGAGCCCCUAUGGACCUAACGUAACUGAAAUGUUCACCAGAACAUUACCAUUUCCUCUGAACCCCACAAGUGUCAAGCACUGUUCAGCGUCUACUUGUCGGAAAGAGAAUCUACUGAAAUAUCUUCGCAAGCUUCAGGGGGUAGGCACAAUGGUGAAUCCUGCGUGUGUGCGUGCAAGCGAAAAAGGCUGGAGCGCCCUGUAGUGUAUUAAUCAAUUAACUACAUAUUACACAGGUUCACAUUGUGGAUGCCAUCAAGGGCUCCAUUCCCUGCCUGAGCACCUGAGCUGAGCCCCCAGCCAGGUCCCAGGACAUGGGGAACACGGUGAGUUGUUGUUUUCGUCCAAAUCCUCGGGACCGCCGGGAGGAUCAGGAGGAGGGGCAGCGGUUGCAUGAGGACAUUCAGACCCAGCAGACCUCUGUAAAAACAUUGGAGGGUGGUUCAGUAGGCGCUACCAGGGCAGAUAGCUCUGACUCACCAUUGCUCACUAAUGACGAGGGCACUGGCCAGUCAAAACCAGGCCUGCCACU